rnacentral:tRNA from 1 species
CAUUAAGAAGCUAGAACAGCAUUAACCUUUUAAGUUAACUAUCGAGAGUAUUAACCCUCUCCUUAAUGA